CUGAUAUGUUAUCUGUCACGAUCACGCCGGAGAUAAGCGGCGAUCGUGCGGUUUUUAUUCUUCUAGUGUCUAGAAGAAUAAAGACGGAAUAAACUUCAACAUCUGUCAGGCGUAUGUUUUCUGUACCAGAUGAAGAACUUUGGGAGCUGUUAUAUCUUCUAUAGUAAAGCCAGUACAGCUGUUUUUAUUGUAGUCGAAAACAACAGUGAGUGCCAGUCACUGGCAAAUCCCUUGGUUCCCGG